CAGCACCUCAAGUGGUCAGGAUGAUUAUUGGGCCUAAAGCAUCCGUAGCCGGCGCUGUAAGUUUUCGGUUAAAUCUGUACGCUCAACGUACAGGCUGCCGGGAAUACUGCAGCGCUAGGGAGUGGGAGAGGUAGACGGUACUCGGUAGGAAGGGGUAAAAUCCUUUGAUCUAUUGAUGACCACCUGUGGCAAAGGCGGUCUACCAGAACACGUCCGACGGUGAGGGAUGAAAGCUGGGGGAGCAAAUCGGAUUAGAUACCCGAGUAGUCC
rnacentral:rRNA from 1 species